AAUUAAUACUGUAUGUAAAAGCUUACAUCUCAUUUUAAAAGAUAAGGAGUUAAUGACUAUGAAAACAACAGCGCACACAACGUUUACGAAAGCCGUCAUUACAAUUUUAUUACUCUAAUUGGACUUGGAACACUGUAGCAAGAUACAGUCGUUUGAGUCCUGUUUCGUUUAAAUGGGAUUCUUGA
rnacentral:sRNA from 1 species